rnacentral:lncRNA from 1 species
CACUGCAAUACUUAGAAUAAGAGCAAUCAGGAACAUUGUAUCCAGUGGAAUGGAGGAAAAGGAUUCAUGUAGCUGACCCCACCUAGUUGGAUACUAAGGCUUAGUUGAGUUGAGUUUGGAACAUGAUAUCCAAAUUAUGAAAGGAGCACUAUAUCAUAAUUUAGUUUUAAGAUUUGAGAUGGAAAUGAAGGCAAUUAAAACCAACAAUCAAGACAUACCAUCUCAUAUAACAUGCAAAUACAAUUAUGUAUAUCAACAUAGAGUAAGCAACCGCAUAACAAUUCACAGAAAAAAAAGUAUCAUAUUAUGUACUAAAAUGGGUACCAAGGAUGAAUCAGGGUUUGAAAACUUGGCUUUAAUUUCUGUUAUGGCAGGACUGCCAAGUUUCAGUUAGAGUGAUUUAGUGGGCUCAAGUUUCGGAGUUUCUUUGCAGAGAGGCUGUUUCCAUGCUUUAAGCCCGUGACCUCCAUGUGGAGCAACCUUACCCUUGUGUCAAGGCUUAUCUUCUUUUGGCCAAAAAUAAGGAAAAUGCCAAAAUAAAAAAAUAAAAGAAUAUAUGUAUGUAGCCCGUGACCUCCAUGUGAAGCAACCUUACCUCUGUGUCAAGGCUCAUCUUCUUUUGGCCAAAAAUAAGAAAAAUGCCAAAAUAAAAAAAUAAAAGAAUAUAUGUGUCAUAUUAGGAUAUUGUAUCGUUUGAAAUCUUUGGGUUUAUUGUCUUGGUGUUUACCAUAUGGUGGCCUAAAACUAUCAAGUAUUGCAAAAUCUUUAAGAAACCAAGAAAUAUAAUAAUUAUAUUAACUCAGUUCUUUCAUAACAAUUAUUGAUCAGCUGGAGAGAGCUCCAUGUCCAAAACUUGGGAAGUAAAUACCAAUUUAAUGGGUAAGCAUAACAUCUAGUUACUUUUGAUCAAUUUUGAUUGAAAACUAGAGCAAAAAG